GCCCGAGCGCGGGCGGCAGGGGCGGCCGGCGGCCGGCGGCAGGGGCCGAGCGCGGGCGGCAGGGGCGUCCGGCGGCGGGAGCCGACCCUAGGCGCCGCGCCCGGAGGCGGGGGCCGUGCCCUGGCAGGGGCAGCCGGCGGCGGGGGCCGAGCCCGGCGGUGGUGAUCUGGAAGCGGCCCGAGCGACCCGAGUGGCGGCGGCAGCAGUGGGAUCUGGAGCGGACGGGAGUGGCGGCGGUUGCGGGAGGCUCGGUGGCGUCGGUGGCCGAGGG
rnacentral:lncRNA from 1 species